rnacentral:rRNA from 1 species
ACGCUGGCGGCAGCCCUUACACAUGCAAGUCGAGCGAGAAAGUUUCUUCGGAAACGAGUAAAGCGGCGGACGGGUGAGUAACGCGUAGGAAUCUACCAUUCAGUGGGGGAUAGCUCGGGGAAACCCGAAUUAAUACCGCAUAUACCCUAAGGGGGAAAGAGGGCCUAUCCUUGGAAGCUCUUGCUGUUUGAUGAGCCUGCGUGAGAUUAGUUUGUUGGUGAGGUAAUGGCUCACCAAGGCUACGAUCUCUAGCUGGUCUGAGAGGACGAUCAGCCACACUGGGACUGAGACACGGCCCAGACUCCUACGGGAGGCAGCAGUGGGGAAUAUUGGACAAUGGGGGCAACCCUGAUCCAGGCAUGCCGCGUGUGUGAAGAAGGCCUUCGGGUUGUAAAGCACUUUAGGUAAGGAAGAAAAGUUAUUGGUUAAUACCCAAUGACCAUGACAUUACUUACAGAAUAAGGACCGGCUAACUCCG